AGCGAACGCUGGCGGCAGGCCUAACACAUGCAAGUCGAACGGACCCUUCGGGGUUAGUGGCGGACGGGUGAGUAACACGUGGGAACGUGCCCUUUGGUUCGGAACAACUCAGGGAAACUUGAGCUAAUACCGAAUGUGCCCUUUGGGGGAAAGAUUUAUCGCCAUUGGAGCGGCCCGCGUCUGAUUAGCUAGUUGGUGGGGUAAUGGCCUACCAAGGCUACGAUCAGUAGCUGGUCUGAGAGGAUGAUCAGCCACAUUGGGACUGAGACACGGCGCAAACUCCUACGGGAGGCAGCCGUGGGGAAUCUUGCGCAAUGGGCGAAAGACUGACGCAGCCAUGCCGCGUGAAUGAUGAAGGUCUUAGGAUUGUAAAAUUCUUUCACCGGGGACGAUAAUGACGGUACCCGGAGAAGAAGCCCCGGCUAACUUCGUGCCAGCCGCCGCCGUAAAAC
rnacentral:rRNA from 1 species